GCGGACGAUCGGGGCAGGACAGGGCCCCACUUCCUAUUGCUCCUGUUCCUGGUUUUCCAGUCAUCUGCAUUUGAAUCUGCCUCUUGUGCACCUCAUCCUGGAGCUUCCCACCCAGUCAGCAGCCCCAAGUCCCACUGGUUACCUGAUUCCUGAAAAACCACUGAAUCCCAACUGGCCUAUCCCCGGAACAAUGGGCGCAGGCGGGAACCAACCCAGGGCAGACACCAACACACUGCAGAGGAAGGAUACAAAUACAGAAAAAAAUAAGAUGAAAGGAUAUGAAUGAAACAGAAUACAAACUGG